rnacentral:tRNA from 1 species
GCCUCUGUAGCUUAGCAUUAAAGCGCCGGAUUUGUAAUCCGGAGAUCGAAGGUUAAAUUCCUUCCUCGGGCC